rnacentral:tRNA from 1 species
GGGUCCGUAGCUCAAUGGUAGAGCAGAUCCCUCUUAAGGAUAAGGUUGAGCGUCCGAAUCGCUCCGGACCCACCA